rnacentral:rRNA from 1 species
AUUAGAGUUUGAUCCUAGCUCAGGAUGAACGCUGGCGGCGUGGAUAAGGCAUGCAAGUCGAGCGAGCUCUGCGCGGUUAGCGGCAGACGAGGUAGUAAUAAGCAGGUAACGUACCAUAGAGUCAGGCAUAGCUCAUCGAAAGGUGAGGUAAUUCCUGAUAGCACCUUGUGGCGAGGUUAAAGUCGCAAGACGCUCUUUGAACGGCCUGCUCGGUAUCAGCUAGUUGGCAGGGUAAAAGCCUACCAAGGCUAUGACGCCUAGGGGACCUGAGAGGGUGACCCCCACCGAUGGAACUGAGAAACGGUCCAUACACCUACGGGUGGCUGCAGCCGAGAAUAUUCGACAAUGGGCGAAAGCCUGAUCGAGCGACGCCGCGUGGAGGAUGAAGUGCUUCGGCAUGUAAACUCCUUUUGUAGACUAGAAAGUUUAUUGAUCAGUCUAAGAAUAAGAGGUUACUAAACUCGUCCAGCAGUAGCGGUAAUACGAGUGCCUCAAGCGUUAUCCGGAAUUACUGGGCGUAAAGGGUGUGUAGGCGGCUGUGUUAGUCUUCUGUCAAAUUCUUCGGCUUAACCGGAGGCUCGCAGAAGAAACGGCACGGCUUUGAGGGUGCAAGAGGUUUGCGGAACUCAUGGUGUAGGGGUGAAAUCCGUUGAUAUCAUGGGGAACACCGAAAGCGAAGGCAGCAAGCUGGUGCACUCCUGACGCUGAAACACGAAAGCGUGGGUAGCGAAUGGGAUAGAUACCCCAGUAGUCCACGCCCUAAACGAUGUUCAUUGGCUUUUCAGAGUAUCGACCCUCCGAGAGGCGAAGCUAACGCGAUAAAUGAACCGCCUGGGUAGUACG